UUUAUACUCGAUAUAUUAUUCCAAGCAGAUAUACAUGUGAAGAAUAUUAUGAUCUUGAUCAAUAUGGAAUCUGUAUCAUGAUCAGUGGGUGUAUCGAUCGACCCUCCAAAGAAAAAGGAUAUCCUCUGCAUAUAUGUGUGCAUGCCAACAACUAUAAAAGGAGACCAUGAGGCAAUGAGUCGAUCAUCCAAGGAAACACACAGAUAUCCCAACUAAAAUUCCAUCAGUGAGACAAUGGCUGGAACCAAUGAUAUUAAAAUUAAAGGGUUUGAUUUGAGCAACAACAAAGGCAACACGUCGGGAUUAACCCACUUCGCCAACAGAGCUGACGGGGGCGACAAGGGCGACAAUAAAAUCGAGGUUGAGGAUGCUAAAGGGCAAGGGAACACAGGAAACUUGAAAGUACUGACCGACUUCGCCCAACGCGGUAAAGUGGGCCAGUCGGAUCGCCAAGAACUACUCAAACCUCAGGCAUGAAAUUGAAGAAGGCCAUACCAUAACCACUUGUCUGCUUGAUAGAUAUAUGUGCUAAAUUAUCUACACAAAAAUAAGAGCUGCUGUUUUAUCUGAGGCUCCUUCCUUGGUUAGGCCUCGUUAUCAUGUGUAAUAUUAAUAUUAUUAUUCUAAUAAAAUAAUGGUAGCUUAUUAUUAAAUAUAUCAGAAUUCUAUACGUAUAACUUUUAGAUUAUUGAUACUGAUGUCAACAAGAGAAAAUGAUUAAAAAUUCCUUUCUCCAAUUCGUGAUGUUACAAAAUGAGACUUCAAAUUUUAAAACUAUAGUUGCAUACGAGUAUAAAACUGAACCAAACAAUGUAUGGGCCAGAGUGACCAAGGAUGUACGCCAGUGAACUAAUGGUCUCUCGUUGCAUGCACGCAUAUGCAAUUGAAGGAGGCAUUAUCUGAGGCUCCUUCCUUGGCUAGGCCUCAUUUUCAAUUUUGAUUUCAACUUUGAUUUCGCUUAAACUUUGAUUUUGAGCUAGACUGUGAUUUCGACUUUGUGAUUCUGAUUCUCUCCCAAUUCGUGCCUUAAGAAUCAGUUUCUCCCAACUCUAUUUACCAAAACCGAAAACUCUAAACUUUUCAUUUCGUCUGGCUACUCUCAGGGUUUCAUGCCCUAGUUUUCUCUUGCCAAAAAGACUUGGCUUUCAUGUCAUGCUAUACUCCUCGAUUGAACAAGCCGUGUCUUCAAAUUCAGCUUUCUCACUUCCUUUCUCUUUACUUUCUUUCUUUUGUUUUCCGGCCAGGAAAAUUAUGGAAGCAUUACAAAUUUAAGAGAAUAUUCUAGUAUUAGGGUCCAAACUGUACUAUUUAGGUAUUUUCAUUCUGAUUAAGAGUUCCUUUCUAGAAAUUUAGGGAAGAAUAAAGUUUCUGUUUUAGUGUUUGAUUUUCAUUAUAGUGAGUUAUGUGAAAUCGAAAUGUUUCUUGUGUGAUUUCAUCACUGCUUUCAAAUUGCAAAUUAAGGAUUUGAAGGUUACAAAUUAUUAUGUAGAUAAUUUUUGGGAAUUUAAGAGGCAGUACAGUGUUUGUAUAAGUCUUGAGAUAGACCAAUUUACCAUGCUCGAUUUCUAUAUAUAAAUUUUUUUAAAUCAUUCUUUUGUUUUAUUUAUUCUGUUAAUUUGUCAUAAUGUGUAAUAUGAUAGCUUCUAAUUCUUUCUUCCUAUUUCUUCUUUUUUGUUAUUCUCUCCCAAAUGAAAUGAAGACCUAACUUAUAUCAAGAAGAAGAGGAUGGAUCCUUACAUAUGAAGAUUUUAAAAUUAACAUUAUUGGAAGACAGUAGGAGUAUCGGCAAUUUGAUACGAGUAUCGGAGUAUCAAAUACGAGCAUACCCGUCUUUAACAAUGUCUCAUUUCAAUUGGUACAAAAGAAAAAUAAAGGCAAAGUUGAAAAUAGAUUGUUCAGUUUGGAAAGUUGUUAAUGUAUGCAUUUUGAGUUUUUCUUUUGGCUUCCCUUGACAACUUUGUAAUAGGAUUUCUAUUGUUAUUUAUCAAGCUCAAGUUUAGAUUGAGAAUAGCUUCUCUAGGUGUUCUUAACUAACAACUAUUCUAUGGAGGUUCAUGCAAAUUGGCAAAGGUAAAUUGUGCAUUGCAUAACAUUGCAUUAUAUUGUUUUCAUAAAAUGAUGACUAGUCAUCUGUUUCUUGGAUGACUAGUCAUCCUUGCUCUCUAGCUUGAUAACCAACUUUUUUGUCCUAUUCCUUUUUCUCUCUCUGCUGCCACAUGGGAUUCUGACCUAAGGGAAUUUUUUGGUCUAUAUAGGCCUUGCAAUUCCUCAUUUGGCAGUCUUCACUUUUGGGGACAAGUUUUGGAAAGUCUCAUAGCAAACUUUCGCUUCUUCUUCCUCAAGAGUAACCUUCAUAUUUUUCAUCUUUGAGUUUUCCAAAUUGUUUCUUUUUGAAAACUGCAUUUGAAAUAUGAAAACUUCAUCAUGCUAGAUCAAACACUCUAUCAUAUACAUCUAGGUCAGAUUUAAAAUUGAUUUCUUCAAGAGUAUGGUUUCUUGAAGAAAUUGGUUAUUUUCUCCAUUAAUCCAAAUUUCGUUUCUGUUUGAGUUGAGCUUGCAAGCUGGUGCCAUGGGAUGAAUGAGCUGAAGAAGGAGCUGCCAUUGCCAUGAAGAACUGGGCUUCAAGCUUUGCUAAGUUAGAAAAGAAGAUUGCACAAAGGAGGUAUAGCUCAUCUUCCUAAAUAGACCUAGGAAUUUCUUGAGCUUGCUAGUGUUCUUUGUAAGAAUCUUUUUUGCUUAGUGGAUUGCCUGGUCGGUUGAUGACCCCCAGUUUUUCCCAAUGGUGGGUUUCUGGGUGAACAAUUUCUGGUUUCCAUCUCUGUAAAUUUUCUGGGUUUGUGUUCUUGAUAGUUGACUAAUCAUCUGAAUUUGUGCGGUUGACUAGUCAUCUUUUUCUGCUGUUUUGUGUUUGCUUGAUUAUGUUGUCUUCACACACUUUCACCAUAGUUGUUGCUAGCACAGGGAAUGCCUAGAUUGAUGGGUCCUUCUGAGUGACUAGGUUGUCACUAGUAAUUCUUUAGGCCUGCAGGUACAUCUUGGUAUGCUCUGUGUAUGUUAUUGUUUGGUAUAAUUCAUAUCUAACAGUUGACUAGUCAUAAGAGUAUUUGGUCAAGGUCUAGAGUGUGUGAAGGUUGUUGCGUUUUUGAUUGAAUAUCUUUUAAAUUUACCCCUCGUCACCUAAGUACCAAUUUCAAAAGUGACAUUGAGAUUUAAAAAGACUAAACAUUAAGAUGGCAAGAGAGAUCUAAAAGGAUCAAACAAAAAAAAUGAAUGAAAAAUUGAAAAUGCCCUAGAAAGGGAGGAAAUCUUAGUUGCAAUGGGGAUAAUAGUGUUUUGCUAUCCUCGAUCAAUAAUUUUAUACCACGUGACCUAAGGAGGCAUGUCUAUCUAGCUCAUCUGGUCCACCGUCCAUGAUAUGAACUCGACUUGAGAUUUUUUUUUUUUUUUUUCCUGGGUUGAAGUAGAACAACUAGACUUGAGAGUUGAUGUCAUAUCUCAGGAUCGGCUCCACCGUAGCACGAUAUUGUCUGCUUUAGGUCCCCUCUCUGUCCUCUGGUUUUGUUUUUAGGAGCUCACGAGCAACUUCCCAGUUGGUCACCCAUCUUGGGAUUGCUCUAGCCCAAACUCACUUAACUUCGGAGUUCUCAGGACUCCGAAGCCAGUGAGCUCCCAAAAAGCCUCGUGCUAAAUGGAGGUGGGCAUAUACAUAUAAGGUGCAACACCCCCUCUCUGUUGAUCGAUGUGGAAUGUUACAAUCCACCCUCCUUAGAGGUCUGACGUCCUAGUCGGCACACUCUCACCACACGGCAGAGUCGCUCUGAUGCCAAAUCGUCACAUCCCGGGAUUGGUUCCGUCGUAGUACGAUAUUGUCCGUGUUGGGUCAAUCUCUCUGCCCUCACGAUUUCGUUCUAGGAGCUCACUAGCAACUUCCCAGUAGAUCACUCAUCCUGUGAUUGCUCUAGCUCAAACUAGCUUAACUUCGGAGUUCCCAUGACUCCGAAGCCAGUGAGCUCCCAAAAGGCCUCGUGCUAGAUAGAGGUGGGCAUGUACAUAUAAGGCACAUCACCUCCUCUCCGUUGGUCGAUGUGGGAUGUUACAGUUGAGGGCUCCGUUGGUCAAUGUAGGAUGUUACAGUUGAGGGCUCCGUUGGUCGAUAUAGGAUGUUAUAGUUGAGGCAGCCAAACUAGAAGGGAAGUAACCCUACUCCACUCCCUCUCCCCAUGUGCCCAGUUCUCUACUCGUUUCACCUUUUAAACCUUUUAGGAUUUUCCAUACACAAAGAGGAGAACGACCACAUUACGGUCCCGUUUGGUUCACGAACAGAUUUGAGGGGAAAUAACUUCUCAUGUCCUUUCUCAAGGAAUGGGAAAUGAAGAUUCAUUUCCCAUAUUUGGUAAUCCUAGAAAAAUAACAAAGAAAUACCACUUUAUUUCCUUUCACAUGUUUGGUUUGUGUAGGAAUGUAAAACAAAGUUUGUUUAAUUUUCCAAUUAUACCCAUAUGAAAUCAAAUAAAACAAAAGAAUAUUUAAUGUUAUAUUGUAAUUCUAACUGUUAAUGGGAUGGUCAUGAAAAAUGUGUAUUUAAUGUUGGCUCAUUUGCUUAUUUUCCCAAACUUUCCCAUGAGGAGGAAAACAAAACCCAAGGGAGGAGGAUGGCUUCACUUUCCUCUCUACUUUCCCAUAUACAAGGCAACGAUUUCUCAAGCCUGGACUUACCAAACAUGAUAAAUAAAUUAAUUUCUCAUCCCCAAGCCAUUUUUCCCAUAAACAAAACAGAGCCUACAGAUUUUUAGCUUCAACCUUUAAGGAUUUUCAUAACAAAUCUUUCAAUCUUAUACCAAGGAAAGAAAAAAAAAAAAAAAAAAAGGGAUCCAUGCAUGUAAUUUCUAGAUUAAAAUCUCACUUUUUACGCAUGCCAUUAUCUAAGGAUUAGGUAUUACUACACACGAACAAUCUUACGAUUAUCUGCAAUUCGUCCUUCAAUGGCCAAAGACAUUAUAUCAAAUCAACAAUAAGACGUACAUUUCUUCAAAGAACUAAAUUAUGUGGAUUUCAACUUGCUCUCACUUAUAUGUUUGUCUCUCUCCUCCUAUUGUUUAGCUUAAGGUUUUAGGGCGUGGUUGUCUAAGAACAAUAAGGUAAACAUGCUUACAAAAAAAGAUGGACAGCUGGGAUGGACAUAUGCGAAUGUGAGCUUUUACACAUUGCCACUAAUUUUCUCCAUGAUUUUGUUGAAAUCAUUAACAAAAUAAGAAACUUUAGUAAUUGAAGCGAAAGAGACUAAUUAUCAGAACAGAAAAUAUGAAAAGAGAAGCUCCCAAUCCAAACUUUAAGUCACAAGUUUAACAGUUUACUUUAAAACAAAAGCAAGUUACGAAACAAUCCCCUGCUUUCCUUGUUAAACAUCAACGGACCCAUUAUUGAUGAGGAUUGAGAAUCUAAGAGCAUAUGGACGAUGGAUCUCUCUCUCUUUUUGAAAACAAAAACAAAAACAAAAAUCAACUUCAUUAUCCUUAGUGAAUUUGUUCGGGAUUAGUUGUGUUGAAUUAGUACAGCUUACUUACGCAAUCGAACAUCAAACCUAGCUAGCUAAAAAGAGAAAAAGAAAGGGCACAACGACAGUACUGUAGUAUACGUGAAGAAUCUUAUGAUCUAUAAUAUUCUGUAUUAUUGGCCAUCAUUUUCAAUCCUUAUUAAAGAAAACUUGCUUCGCCAUAAUUUCAAGUUGUUCUGAAGGCAGGCAUAGAUAAUGAUCAAGGAAGGUAAGGGCACUUCGAAAGAUUCCUUCUCAUCAUCUAUACAAGGAAAUGUGUUCUCAUCAAGCUAGCGGACAAGGCAAAUUAGCAACCUUUAUACUCAGAUAUAUUAUUCCAAGCAGAUAUACAUGUAAAUAUAUGUGAAGAAUAUUAUGAUAAUGAUCAAUAUAGAAUCUGUAUCAUGAUCAGAGGGGUAUCGAUCGACCAUCCAAAGAAAAGGAUAUCCUCUGCAUAUAUGCAUGCCAACAACUAUAAAAGGAGACCAUGAGGCAAUGAAUAAUCAAAGCAAAGACACAGAUAUCCCAACUAAAAAUCAAUCAGUGAGACAAUGGCUGGAACUGGAACCAAUGAUAUUAAAAUUAAAGGGUUCGAUUUGAGCAACAACAGCGGCAACACGUCGGGAUUAACCCACUUCGCCAACAGAGCUGAUGGGGGCGACAAGGGCGACAAUAAAAUCGAGGUUGAGGGUGCUAAAGCGCAAGAUAACAAGGGAAACUUGAAAGUACUUACCGAUUUCGCCCAACGCGGUGAAGUGGGCAGGUCGGAUCGCCAAGAACUACUCAAGCCUCAGGCAUGAAAUUGAAGAAGGCCAUACCAUAUAUGUGCUGAAUUAUCUACACAAAAAUAAGAGCUGAUGUUUUAUCUGAGGCUCCUUCCUUGGUUAGGCCUCGUUAUCAUGUGUAAUAUUAAUAUUAUUAUUCUAAUAAAAUAAUGGCAGCUUAUUAUUAAAUAUAUCAAAAUUCUAUACUUAUAACUUUUAGAUUCUUGAGUUGGAAACCCUAGCUGCAUUUUGGUCCUUUUUCUUCUUGCCGACAACCAACCACAAGGAAACUAAGGGGGAGGUGGCCACUGCCCCUCCCCCCCUUUGCCCAUCUUCUCCUUUUUCUCCUCAUCUUCCCUUCUUUUUCUCCCAUCUUUUCCCCUCCUCUUAUGCCCUCUUCUCUUUCCAUUCCCCUCCCCAUAUAGUCUAGAUCUGUUUGGAUUUAGGUUUUGUUUGUUUGUUUGGUUUGGUUGUUUUUGCAGUGUUUUAGGUGACUGGUAGUGACGUUGGAUUGUGUCUAUUAUCUGGAGAGUUGUGAUACCUGGUGGCUGAUGUUUUGUCUCUAUUUCAACGACGACGGCAGUAGCGACACUAGCGAUAGUUAUUGGAUCUGGUGCUCUUCUUUACUCUGCACUUACCAAAGAACUAUGCUUGGUCAUAGGAGGUUUUCUUUGUCAGGUUCUGAGUUGAAGAGAGUGCUUCUUAGGGGUUCUUUUAUUGUUGUUUCUGUGUUCCUCCUCUGUGUUCUCUCCUGUUUUCUGUUAUGGUAUGCCUUGUAGUUUGUAUGGGUGUCAAAAUACAAUGAUUUUGCUCAUAGAAGGCUUCUUUUGACAGUUGGGAUGUUCUAUGGUCCUCUCCUGUGGGUUUACUAUUUGGGGUUUCUGUCGUCCUCUCAUGUGGGUGUACUAUGUUAGUAUCUAGUUGAGGUUCUCGUCGGAGUUCUUUUUGUUAGUUUUCGUUUUUGAUUUGUUCUCUUAUUGUAAUGGUCCAAAGCGAUUAGAAUUGAACUCUCUUGUUAGUCCAUGACUCUUUUCUCACCGGGAUUUGUCCCAUGAGAUUGUCCUAGGAAGGUUUUAACGAGGUCACUGUAUCAUGUUGCUCUUUGUACGUCUUUGGUUCUAUUAAUAAAUUCUCUUUCUUAAAAAUAACAAAAAUAAAUAAAUAAAUAAAUAAAAAUUUAGAUUAUUGAUAACGAUGUCAACAAGAGAAAAUGAUUAAAAAGUCCUUUCUCCAAUUCGUGAUGUUACAAAAUGAGACUUCAAAUUGUAAAACUAUAGUUGGAUACGAGUAUAAAACUGAACCAGGCAAUGUAUGGGCCAGAGUGACCAAGGAUGUACGCCAGUGAACUAAUGGCAAUUUCUCGUUGCAUGCACGCAUAUGCAAUUGAAGAAUGCCAUAAUAAUAUGUGUUUUUACUAAAUUAUCUGCACUAAAAUAAAAACUGAGGCAUUAUCUGAGGCUCCUUCCUUGGCUAGGCCUCAUUUUCAAUUUUGAUUUCAACUUUGAUUUCGCUUAAACUUUGAUUUUGAGCUAGACUGUGAUUUCGACUUUGAUUAUGAUUAUCUCCCAAUUCGUGCCUUAAGAAUCAGUUUCUCCCAACUCUAUUUACCAAAACCAAAAACUCUAAACUUUUCAAUUCGUCUGGCUACUCUCAGAGUUUCAUGCCCUAGUUUCCUCUCGCCAAAAAGCCAAAAAGACUUGGCUUUCAUGUAAUGCUAUACUCCUCGAUUGAACAAGCUGCGUCUUCAAAUUCAGCUUUCUCACUUCCUUUCUCUUUACUUUAUUUUCUUUUGUUUUCCAGCCGGGAAAAUCAUGGAAGCAUUACAAAUUUAAGAGAAUAUUCUAGUAUAAGGGUCCAAACUGUACUAUUUAGGUAUUUUCAUUUUGAUUAACUAGAAAUUUGGCGAAGAAAAAAUAGUGUUCGUCUUUUAGUGUUUGAUUUUCAUUAUAGUGAGUUAUGUGAAAUCGAAAUGUUUCUUGUGUGAUUUCAUCACUGCUUUCAAAUUGCAAAUUAAGGAUUUGAAGGUUACAAACUACUAUGUAGACAAUUUUUGGGAAUUUAAGAGGCAGUACAGUGUUUGUAUAAGUCUUGAGAUAGACCAAUUUACCACGCUCGAUUUCUAUAUAUAAUUUUUUUUUAAAUCAUUCUUUCGUUUUAUUUAUUCUGUUAAUUUGUCAUCAUGGGUAAUAUGUGUUUGUACCCAAUUUUAGUAAAUGGACUAAAAAUGGUUUAACGGGUUAAAAGAAUAUUUUGAAGAUAAAUCCAGGCCCAUUAACAUUUGUUUUUUCUCAAAAAAGUCAUCUCUUUCUUAAGGGCUUUUUGGAAUAAAUCGAUAGGAAGGCCCCAAACUGUGAAGGAUCAUAUCCUUAUCUCGCACUAAAGGUUAAAAAUCGAUAAACGUGUUUCCUAGGCCCACGUGAGAGGCUGAAGGGGAUUAUCACAUUUAAUAACGACUUGACCUCCUUCUCUCCCAGUAAGAAAACAAGUCAUACAGAAGCCACCAAAACCAGAGGAGGAUCAAAUUGCCAGCCAGGUCUUCUAGUACGAAAGGGUCAAAUCAAGAGAGCUUCACAAAGAAAACUGACGGUUCCUGACAGAAGCCCUCCAUCAUUCCCUCUAUGAACCAGUUAAGAUCAACAAACCAACAGCUGACCUUGAACCACAAGCCAAAGGUCUUGUCGCAGUUUCCAUCAUUAUAAGCUCCUUCCUCCUCUAUAAAUAAAGAAGGGGACUCUCUCCCCAAAAUCAAACGCAACGUCUCAAAAAACACUUAAAAACUCUCAAGAUAGCAAUCUGCCUACUCUCUUUAGAUAACCAGACGACAACUCCUGUGUUUAUCUCUCGUAGCUCUGCCAUAUUCAUGGUAUGAUUUUCUUUUAAAAGUAAUCUGUUUCAAUUCUUGUAAUCACUUAACUGGAUUGAGAAAUCUCCAGUCUCUCUUUCCUUGCUUUGUAAUUCUGAUUUAAAGAUAAUUGAUGGAUUAGUUGAAGAAGGUUCUGUUAUUUAAUCUCAAUUACACUUAUACCAAGUAUAAGUUGCAGAAAAAUCGUCUUAAAUAAAUCCACUUAGUUAACUAAAAAUGAAUUAUGGACCAUUUUAGUAUAUAAAAUUGAAUUCCCGCCUUCGUCCUUUUAUAAAAGUCCAAAGAACCAACAUUCGGGAUGAAAAGCGAUUGGGGCCUGAAUGAAAUAGUAACGAUAGGAGGGAUAGGAAGUUGACUUGGGCCCGAAUUAACUAUUAAUCCAGCCCGUGCGAUAUAGAUAUUUUAACUGGUUGAUAAAACCCAGAUAGGGUCUUACUAUCCACGAUCUUGGUCUCUCUCUCUCUCUCUCUCUCUUUUACUUGUUCAGGUAUCGCUCAUACUUGUCAGGUUGACACUCACGAAGGAAAGAAUAUUGAAGUCCUCUUAACUGAGGCAUAGAAAAGAAUCAAUCCAGGCUAUUACCCCCCCGGAGCACAAUGGCUUGAGAAGAAGUCUAGAAAAAGACGUGUAAGUUCCAUCAAAAUUAACCAUCAUAAGCAUCCAUACCAGGUCUAUUAGGUUGGUCCUAUACCCAAUAGUGGCACGCCUAGGUAACACCACGAAUCAGAAUUGAGAAAAGUUGACAUAUAUGGCCUCAACUGGGCCCGCUCGCUUUUGGCAAACUGAUUCAACUUUCAAUUUUGUUCAGAAAUUGAAGGAGUCCUCUCUGUGAGCCAAGAAACACCAUCUAAUCGGGGCAUUGGUGUUGAUCUAACUAAACCUCUUCGUUCCUCCAAGCAAAGCUGACCCCCGUGGGCAGCGAAAAGGAACGGCGAACGGAAAAAAGGAUCAACAAUAUGAUAGCUUCUAAUUCCUUCUUCCUAAUUCUUCUUCUUUUUUUUGUUUGUUAUUCUCUCCUAAAUGAAAUGAAGACCUAACUUAUAUCAAGAAGAAGAGGAUGGGUCCUUACAGAUGAAGUUUUUAAAAUUAACAUUAUUGGAAGACAAUAGGAGUAUCGGCAAGUCGAUACGAGUAUCGGAGUAUCGGUAAGAAUAUCGGAGUAUCAAAUACGAGCAUGCCCAUCUUUAACAAUGUCUCAUUUCAAUUAAUACAUAAGAAAAAUAAAGGCAGAGUUGAAAAUAGAUUUUUCAGUUUGGAAAGUGACAUUGAGAUUUAAAAAUACUAGACAUUAAGAUGGCAAGAGAGAUCUAAAAGGAUCAGACCCAAAAAAAAAUUGAAUGAAAAAUUGAAAAUGCCCUAGAAAGGGAGGAAAAUUUAGUUGCAAUGGGGAUAACAAUGUUUUGCUAUCCCGAUCAAUAAUACCACGUGGCCUAGAAGGAGGCAUGUUAAUCCAACUCAUAUGGUCCACCGUCAUGAUUAAAGAAAGCCUACAAGAACGGGAGGCAUUUAUGCUAAUCAAUACCUUAGCAGAAAGAUUACAGGAGGAAGGAGUAGAACAACAGACAUCAUAAACAAGCACCGCCAACUAUAUGGCAAAGUUCAUAUCCGAAAAAGCCUAGACCGAAACAUUCGGAAUGGAGGAAGAGAUCCAACUUGCACCUACCAAGUUAAGUCAAACCUGGACUUAACCCCUACUUUCCCAUGUGCAAGGGAACAAUUUCUGAAGCCUGGACUUACCAAACAUGGGAAAGAAAUUAAUUUCUCAUCCCCAAGCCUCCUUCUCCUUGAACCAAACGGGGCCUACAAGUUAUUAGCUUCAAGCCUUUAAGGAUUUUCAUAACAAAUCUUCCAAUCUCAUACCAAGGGGGGAAAAAAAAGGGGGAUUCAUGUAUGUAGUUUCUAGAUUAAAAUCUCACUCUUUAAGCAUGCCAUUAUCUAAGGAUUAGAUAUUACUACACACGGACAAUCUUAUGAAUAUCUGCAAUUCGUCCUUCGAUGGCCAAAGACGUUAUAUCAAAUCAACAAUAAGACGUACAUUUCUUCAAAGAUCUAAAUUAUGUGGAUUUCAACUUGCUCUCACUUAUAUGUUUGUCUCUCUCCUAUUGAUUUGCCUCUCCAUACGAGGGAGGGUGUUUAGCUUAAGGUUUUAGGGCAUGGUUGUCUAAGAACAAUAAGGUAAAUAUGUUUUAUCCAAUUACAUGAGAUACCCUUAUCUUCAAAAACAAAAAAAUGGGCAAAAUUAAAUUAGCAAGGAUGGACAUAUGUGAAUGUGAGCUUUUACACAUUGCCACUAAUUUUCUCCAUGCUUUUGUUCAAAUCAUUAACAAAAUAAGAAACUUUAGUAAUUGAAGCGAAAGAGACUAAUUAUCAAAACAGAAAAUAUGAAAAAAGAAGCUCCCAAUCCGAACUUUAAGUCACAAGUUUAACAGUUUACUUUAAAACAAGAGCAAGUUACGAAACAAUCUCCUGAUUUCCUUGUUAAACAUCAACCGACCCAUUAUUGAUGAGGAUUGAGAAUCUAAGAGCACAUGGACGAUGGAUCUCUCUCUCUUUUUGAAAACAAAACAAAAAAUCAACUUCAUUAUCCUUAGCGAAUUUGUUCUGGAUUAGUUGUGUUGCAAUGGAACAUCGAACCUACCUAGCUAAAAGGAAAAAAGAAAGGCCACUAUGACAGUACCCCUAGUAUUGGUCGUCAUUUUCAAUCCUCAUAAAAGCAAACUUACUUCGCCAUAAUUUCAGGUUGUUCUCAAGGCAGGAAGGUAAGGACACUUCAAAAGAUUCCUUCUUAUCAUCUAUAUAAGGAAAUGUGUUCUCAUCAAGCUAGCGGACAAGGCAAAUUAGCAACCUUUAUACUCGAUAUAUUAUUCCAAGCAGAUAUACAUGUGAAGAAUAUUAUGAUCUUGAUCAAUAUGGAAUCUGUAUCACAUAUAUCCUCUGCAUAUAUGUGUGCAUGCCAACAACUAUAAAAGGAGACCAUGAGGCAAUGAGUUGAUCAUCAAAGCAAACACACAGAUAUCCCAACUAAAAAUCAAUCAGUGAGACAAUGGCUGGAACUGGAACCAAUGAUAUUAAAAUUAAAGGGUUCGAUUUGAGCAAAAACAGCGGCAACACGGCGGGAUUAACCCACUUCGCCAACAGAGCUGAUGGGGGCGACAAGGGCGACAAUAAAAUCGAGGUUGAGGGUGCUAAAGCGCAAGAUAACAAGGGAAACUUGAAAGUACUUACCGAUUUCGCCCAACGCGGUGAAGUGGGCAGGUCGGAUCGCCAAGAACUACUCAAGCCUCAGGCAUGAAAUUGAAGAAGGCCAUACCAUAUAUGUGCUGAAUUAUCUACACAAAAAUAAGAGCUGAUGUUUUAUCUGAGGCUCCUUCCUUGGUUAGGCCUCGUUAUCAUGUGUAAUAUUAAUAUUAUUA
rnacentral:lncRNA from 1 species